AGCAGGAUUUGGAGGGUCCGACGAGGAAUGUGUUGUUUUGAUGUGCCUGCCUCUUUAAUUCCUCCCCCCCCUCCAAGUUUAUUUGGUGGAGAUGGGACUGUGGGGCAACUUUAAAGGGAGUUAAGCUGAGGAAAGGAGGUGUCAAAACUGACACCCCUCCGAAAGGGAUCAAAACCGAGCUUCUCAUGGAAUCUGGGCAAACUUUGCAGACAGAAGAAAUCAACAGGACGGAUUUAGCAGCUGCCAGCUUAACCAGCAACAUACAGUUCCCAGUGACUGGAGAGCCAAAGAAUGAUGGAGUUAAAGCAGGGAAGAGGAACUUUGGCCCAUGUUUCUAACUUGGCUUGCAAAGGUUUCUCAUCCAGUUUGCAAAGCUUCUUCUGCUCUUCUCUCCGAUCCAGGAAUAGAGAUUGGCGCUAAAAGUUUAUAUAUACAGUAUGUAGCCCUGGAACGGUUUGCAUGGAGCAGGAGCUUUGAUUUGCAGGCUGGUGAGAUUAGCUACUAAAGUGUGGCCCACUGCUAAAUUGUACACUUGGUUCACUGACACAACCUUUGCUGAGACUGCUCACAAACUGCCUUCUUCAUAAGGCAAAGCCACUCUGCUGGAUCUGAAAGGAGAAGUUGUCAGCAAUGGUAGAGGACUCUUCCUAGGCAAUCCUCAAGUCCUUGAGAAUGACCAAACUGAUAUCAGAAGUCCAGCACAAUAACUGAAUCAUCCAUGCCUAGCAACUAUGAGACAUGAGAUUUCUGUAGACUACAACUGAAGUUAAAGUUUACAUGGAAAAUAUUUCACAAUCUGUCCAAAUUUGAUAUGUACAAUUUCAUUUUCUUAAAAAAACACAAACCACUCAGAAUUGAGUGCUUCAGAGUAUAAAGAGAUAGUGAAGAAUGGGGCACGGGGUUAGACUUCAGGAAACGAGAACACAACCUCCCUUCUCUGUUUUAUAUUCACUGGUGUCACUUAAUUUAUUUUGAUUACUGUUAGCAUCGGGUAUGGCAUUUCGUAAGUUUUCAGCUCUCCAAUACUAAUGCUACUACAUGACAUCUAUCAAAUAGUGUCAUAGGCAUUGCGCAUCAGCUUUGAAACAUGAGGGCCCACUGUCUCUUUGUUAUCACAUCCUCUCUUGCACUAACACUGCUGCUUGGCAUUUAACUCAUCCUAUAUGGUAUGCCACUGCAUGAGAACUAUUAGAAAGAAUCACACAUUAAAUACUAUGGCAUACUAAA